UCCGCUCACAGUGUGUACAACAGACGGUUUCAGCCGACCUAUACUACUGUUUUUAAAAAUCCAAAAGUUAUUGUUUUCUUUACGAUAAGUCUGUCUUUACAAUAUUAUAUUUCUAAACGACGUAUUCAUUAGUGUUAACGAGCUCGUUUUAUAAGACAUUAUUUGAUUGAUAUUAUCAAUAUUUCUAUACGUUUUUAUAUCAUUUCAAUUUCUCACUUAAAAUUA